AACGUAGGUGGCGAGCGUUAUCCGGAUUUACUGGGCGUAAAGGGUGUGCAGGCGGGCUGUUAAGUGGUGUAUGAAAUAUCCCGGCUCAACCGGGAAGGGUUAUGCCAGACUGGCAGUCUAGAGAGCGAGAGAGGGACGUGGAAUUCCGGGUGUAGUGGUGAAAUGCGUAGAGAUCAGGAAGAACACCCGUGGCGAAGGCGGCUCUCUGGGACGGUACUGACGCUGAGACGCGAAAGCGUGGGGAGCGAACAGG
rnacentral:rRNA from 1 species